rnacentral:lncRNA from 1 species
GGAUUUCCCUAAAUGGGACUCAGCUGGCUUGAUGGAAGAGUUCCGCACCUCGUGGAUUGCAGCUCACGGGGAAGAAGGGGAAGGGGAAGACGUGUUGGCCGAGUAGAAGGCGUUCGUGGACUGGGAGUUCGGCGCUUUGCCUAUGAUUUCAUCUAGAACCGUCUGGAUGAAGAACCAAGUCAAUGGGGGCUCAGGCUCGGUUUGCCUGCGACUCCUUCCUGUGGCCUCGCUUCUUUCGAGACCGCAAGCUCUUUGAGGGCAGGGAACUCCCCCACGCACCGAGUACAGUGCUCUGCACAAGGGCCAAGCUUGGCAUCACUGUUAGGGAGGGGACCCAACUGAGCAUCGUCCAUGCCCGGGGCAUGGCAGCCACGGGAGACCCUGCCCCCAACCCCAUCGUGCUCCUCUUCUGGAUUCCGCCGCCCCCAGUUUGA